UUGCAGAUGUGGGGAGCAGUCUCACGGCUCUGACCUCUGGCACGAAGACUAGCCCUCCAACCAGAGUUCAUGUGGAUCACACAUACGCGAUGCAAGGCGCGAUGGAUGGACAUGGCCCGCCGUCUGGAGGAAACGAUGUGGUCCUGUGCCACCCGCACCGAGGGCAAGGGGAAGAUGGACGUGUUGAGGGCCAGACUUCGACAGCUUCGGAAACAUAACAAGAGACUCCAGCAACGACUGCAGCGACGGCGUCAUAUGCUGACUGUCACUGAGAUAGCUGAAAGUGUACGUAGCCUCGUCUCUCCAGCCGUUGCUGCCCUUGUGGAAGCUCAGCUGAAGAUGACCAAUGCGAGCAGGUUCGGCAGGCGGUGGUGCAGCCAGAACAAAGCCUUUGCCUUGGGCUUGUACUUUCACAGCCCUAAGGGU